rnacentral:rRNA from 1 species
UACGUAGGGUGCGAGCGUUAAUCGGAAUUACGGGGCGUAAAGCGUGCGCAGGCGGUUUUGUAAGUCUGUCGUGAAAUCCCCGGGCUCAACCUGGGAAUUGCGAUGGAGACUGCAAGGCUAGAAUCUGGCAGAGGGGGGUAGAAUUCCACGUGUAGCAGUGAAAUGCGUAGAGAUGUGGAGGAACACCGAUGGCGAAGGCAGCCCCCUGGGUCAAGAUUGACGCUCAUGCACGAAAGCGUGGGGAGCAAACAGG